UGCUCUCCAUAGUUGUAGAAUACUUCGGCCGGGUGAGACUUCCAGCUUACACCUAUAAUCGGAUCCAUUUUUUUGUGGCACUAUUCAUUGCCAAUCAAAUUGAGGAAGAUGACAUGAAAUCUAAAUUCAAUAUGAUGCCUGCCCUUUUUGGAAAGAGACUGUGGCGCAAUCUCUACUAUGAUUUCCGGCGGAUACAGAGAAAAUUCAUUGUUGCGAUGAACUGGAGAGUUCUGGUCACUCGCCAGAUCUGUGAUGAAAUCCAAGCCCAAGCCCCUACACACUGGGUCUGGGACAGGGACCGAGACCUCCUCACUUAAACUCUAGCUCUAGGAGGGUGGGACGGAGGGAAUAGAAUGGAUGAUACCAACACUCCAACAAAUCCAGGAUGUUGGCCAUCGAAGAAAUAAAACACUGAACCACCACAAGUAUAUGACCCAGGCCCAGGCGGAUACGACUGAAAGUCCCAGCUGUGG